rnacentral:sRNA from 1 species
UAUAGAAAUCCUGGCUCCUCCCGCCUGCUUACUCUGCCUUCUGUGCUGAGGGCAACUUCUCCUCCAGUCUAGCGCUGUAUACAACUGUAUCGUUGGGCUAGAGGGAUGACUCAGCCACGGAACCAGGUCCCAAGGGACCUAACGCUCUCUGCUGACCUCCUCAGGCACCAGGCUUUACAGAAUCCUCUCUAGAAACAGCUCUCUCUGGUUCCACCCCACGGCCAUCCACCUUGUGUGGCCGAGCACACAUUGCAGCAUCCACCUCUUCAACGCAAGAGCAGGUCACAAAACCAAAGCCUCUGGAACGUUUUGUUUGAGGACCUCUCAUUACCACAGAGUCUUCUGGAUGAGUGCUCUUACAGCAAUUCGCUCUCUCCACCAUUCUUUCACGGAUGACUGGGGACAGCAAGCUUCACAGCAUUUCUGGUGCUCUACCCUAUCCAAACGGGUUUCACUCUGCAGGCCAGACUAACCUCAAAAGGGCAGUACCUUUUCCAGUACCACUCCAGGCUUGACUGGCAUUACGACAAGCAGCUGGUUACAAAUGUCCCUUCUAUGACUGGCUCAUUCAUACUCUAAUGCACACACCAGGAACACACAGGAUGCAUAGCAACAGACAUGGAAACCGUGUUCUCCCACAAGCCAGCUCACAGCUAACCAGCACAUCUGAGAGGCCAGCCUUUAUGCGCUGAGAUUUCAUCCCCUCAGUCUGCCCAGCGGUUACUUGAGAGCAUUUCCCAAACAGGAUGAUGCAGCACAAAACCGCAGAAAUGGAAUUCAGUUCAUCACAAAACGUUAUUUAAAAAUAGUCUGUAUUGUUUCCUGAAAAUUAAGAGUCAGAGAUAGAAGCUGCUGCAUAUACCCAGUGGACCCGCACCUGAGCGUGAGAGCCCGGGUACCAACCUGCUGUAGCAACUCAAGGCCUUAAUGAUGAUCACCAAAGAUAUGGAACUGAAUUGGCCGCGACCCCAGAAAAAGAAACUUUGCCCAAAACCUUGGACGCUCCUGCUCUAGUUUUCAAUACAAUAAGCAAACACUGGGCAGAGCCAGAACCACCCCUGUGUGAUUCGGUUGCUCACAGUGUGGUCCUCAGGUCACGUGGUGGGGAGGUAAGGUACCUGGGCUCUGGCACCGCCCACUACUCGCGAGAGUCUCCAAGAACAGAGCCGCUGUUUGCUUUCUCUAACCAGUUAUGCGUGUUGGUUUUAAAGGUGUGCUUAAGUUUCAGAACCGUUUCUAUCCUUUUCUUAGCAGUGUUUUGUUGUUGUUGUUUUUUGUUUUGUUUUGUUUUUUGUGGGUUUUUUUUUUAAUAUUUUCAGUCCACAAAUAGAAAUUGUAAGAGCCGUCCCCGAGUUGGGGAGCCUCUCGCUCUAGUCGUGGAUGGGGUGCCCCAGGAAGCAUGAAUAGCCAGUCUUAAUGUAACAACAAGAGGCAGUAAUUUUUAUUAUUAUUAACGAGAUCUCGGGCCGACACGUGUCUCACACACAGGAGACAGGGGAAUCGACCACGAGCCUCUAAAGGUGGGGGUUUAUAUAGGGAAAGCCAGGGGAAUUUGCACGGUUACACAUGAUUGGCUGGUUCGAAUGGUGCACAGUUACUUUUGGCGAGGAAUUACAUCAGCAAAAGGGUACGUGCAAUCUAGCAUCUCAGCAAUGCAGGGGGGUGACUCAUCUUUAGGGAGUGAGGGAAGGGGAGAGGGCGGCUCCAGAUGACCAGUGGCAUGUCCGAACUUUGUAAAAUUUAACUCUUCAAAAUGAGGGAGAGUCAUUGGCAUAACCUAAGGUAUCCUAACCGCUCCCAUUCAUAUGCUCCCUAAUUUGAUUCUUACAACAGCCUUCAUGAAGUGGGCCUCGUCUCUCUUUUAUAGAAGACUGAGCAAAAGCAGAGAGGCUAACUGUCUCAAUAUCAUACGAUGGAGACUCAGAUAUAAGAAAGUCUGGCUGUGGAGGCCA